GACGAACGCUGGCGGCGUGCCUAAUACAUGCAAGUAGGACGAGUUGCGAACGGGUGAGUAACGCGUGGUAACCUACCUAUUAGAGGGGGCUAACUACUGGAAACGGUAGCUAAUACCGCAUACCAUCGGAUGUGCCCAGAUGGGAUUAGCUAGUAGGUGGGGUAACGGCUCACCUGGGCGACGAUCCCUAGCUGGUCUGCGAGGAGGACCGGCAAAACGGGAACUGAGACACGUGCCAGACUCCUACGGGAGGCAGCAGUGGGGAAUAUUGCACAAUGGGCGCAAGCCGGAUGCAGCCAUGCCGCGUGUAUGAGGAAGGCCUUCGGGUUGUAAGGUACUUUCAGCGAGGAGGCGUUACUCGCAGAAGAAGCACCGGCUAACUCCGUGCCAGCAGCCGCGGUAAUUC
rnacentral:rRNA from 1 species